CUACGGGUGGCUGCAGUCGAGAAUCUUCCGCAAUGGACGAAAGUCUGACGGAGCGACGCCGCGUGCGGGAUGAAGGCCUUCGGGUUGUAAACCGCUGUCAGUGGGGAGGAAAUGCAUCAGGGUUCUCCCUGGUGUUUGGCCGAUCCGCAGAGGAAGCGCAGGCUAAGUUCGUGCCAGCAGCCGCGGUAACACGAACUGCGCGAACGUUAUUCGGAAUCACUGGGCUUAAAGAGUUCGUAGGCGGCCUUUCAAGUCGGGUGUGAAAUCCCUCGGCUCAACCGAGGAAUUGCGCCUGAUACUGUUGGGCUUGAGGGGGAUAGGGGUGAGCGGAACUGAUGGUGGAGCGGUGAAAUGCGUUGAUAUCAUCAGGAACACCGGUGGCGAAGGCGGCUCACUGGAUCUCUUCUGACGCUGAGGAACGAAAGCUAGGGGAGCGAACGGGAUUAGAUACCCUAGUAGUC
rnacentral:rRNA from 1 species